rnacentral:rRNA from 1 species
ACGGGAGGCAGCAGUGGGGAAUAUUGCACAAUGGGGGAAACCCUGAUGCAGCGACGCCGCGUGAGUGAAGAAGUAUUUCGGUAUGUAAAGCUCUAUCAGCAAGGAAGAAAAUGACGGUACUUGACUAAGAAGCCCCGGCUAACUACGUGCCAGCAGCCGCGGUAAUACGUAGGGGGCAAGCGUUAUCCGGAUUUACUGGGUGUAAAGGGAGCGUAGACGGCAUAGCAAGUCUGAAGUGAAAUGCAUGGGCUCAACCCAUGAACUGCUUUGGAAACUGUUAAGCUAGAGUGCAGGAGGGGUAAGUGGAAUUCCUAGUGUAGCGGUGAAAUGCGUAGAUAUUAGGAGGAACACCAGUGGCGAAGGCGGCUUACUGGACUGUAACUGACGUUGAGGCUCGAAAGCGUGGGGAGCGAACAGGAUUAGAUACCCUGGUA